UUCUUGAAAUCAAUCACGGUCUCUGAAUUUUGUAGGUUAAUUUAUUUAAUAUUACUCUCGAAUUUGUUAUCAGAACCAACUCUAUCUUAAUAAACCCAAUCUAUAUACCUAUUCCAGAUCUGAUACCACCAACCACCCAGUCUAACCCAUUCGCUUCCUUCGGCGGUUUCUCUGAAAUCUCCAAACUACUCAUUUCUCUCUCCAAAGCCCCGCUCCCCCUCUUCUUCGAAAUCGCAACCGUCUUUUACCCGACGCCCACACAAGAACUUGUCACUGACGCAGAGCCCGCCGGAAGAUUCCUCCGGAGAACGACAUGUCGGUCGCCGUCCCCAUGGCCUCGCCCACUCGCCGGCUCAACUUGAAUGACCAGCCGUUCCUCAAUUCCAGGAUUAGUAUGUCUCUCGAUUUAACAUCUAAGAGAAAGGGAUGUGUUGAUAACUGAUAGGGUAAAGGAGGCAAGUAUGCCUUCUCCAAGCAUGACCAAGCAUAGAACGAGCAGUGUGAAAGUUUUUGGGAUCGAAUUGUGCCCUGACAAUGUGGCUGUUGCCAUGGUAUUUUGUUCAAGGUGUCCUAGGCCUUGCAAGGCUUGCUGUCAGUUUUUAACUUUCCAUUUAAAAGACGAUUUGCAUCUCGACCUGGCUGAGGUACAUUUACAUAAUUACAUUCACACUUUCUGUUGUUUUUCGGAACUGGUUUGCUUUACAUUUUUAGCUCUAGUUAUUAAAAGUGGCAUUCUUGAUGAACUGUAAACUCAUAUUGACGUUGGUAUUCACUGAUUCGUAAAGAAUUUGCUUUGA